CGGGACGGGUGAGUAAUGUCUGGGAAACUGCCUGAUGGAGGGGGAUAACUACUGGAAACGGUAGCUAAUACCGCAUAACGUCGCAAGACCAAAGAGGGGGACCUUCGGGCCUCUUGCCAUCGGAUAUGCCCAGAUGGGAUUAGCUAGUAGGUGGGGUAACGGCUCACCUAGGCGACGAUCCCUAGCUGGUCUGAGAGGAUGGCCAGCCACACUGGAACUGAGACACGGUCCAG
rnacentral:rRNA from 1 species